UCUGCUUGCCAAUGCAGGGGACAUGGGUUCGAUCCCUGGUCCGGGAAGAUCCCACAUGCUGUGGAGCAACUAAGCCCAUACACCACAACUACUGAGCCUGUGCUCUAGAGCCCAUGAGCCACAACUACUGAGCCCAUGUGCCACAACUACUGAAGCCCACGCGCCUAGAGCCCGUGCUCUGCAACAAGAAAGGCCACCGCAAUGAGAAGCCUGCGCACCACAACGAAGAGCAGCCUCCACUCGCCGCAACUAGAGAAAGCCCGCGCGCAGCAACGAUGACCCAACACAGCCAAAAAUAAAUAAAUAAA